GAUGAACGCUGGCGGCGUGCCUAAUACAUGCAAGUCGAGCGAACAGACGAGGAGCUUGCUCCUCUGACGUUAGCGGCGGACGGGUGAGUAACACGUGGAUAACCUACCUAUAAGACUGGGAUAACUUCGGGAAACCGGAGCUAAUACCGGAUAAUAUAUUGAACCGCAUGGUUCAAUAGUGAAAGACGGUUUUGCUGUCACUUAUAGAUGGAUCCGCGCCGCAUUAGCUAGUUGGUAAGGUAACGGCUUACCAAGGCAACGAUGCGUAGCCGACCUGGGAGGGUGAGCGGGCAGACUGGAGCGGAGACACGGUCCCGACGCCUACGGGAGGCAGCAGUAGGGAAUCUUCCGGAAUGGGCGAAAGCCUGACGGAGCAACGCCGCGUGAGUGAUGAAGGUCUUCGGAUCGUAAAACUCUGUUAUUCGGGAAGUACAAAUGUGUAAGUAACUAUGCACGUCUUGACGGUACCUAAUCAGAAAGCCACGGCUAACUACGUG
rnacentral:rRNA from 1 species